rnacentral:lncRNA from 1 species
UGAGGUGGGUGGAUCACAAGGUCAAGAGAUGGAAACCAUCCUGGCCCAACAUGGUGAAACCCCUUCUCUACUAAAAAUGCAAAAGUUAGCUAGUCCUGGUGGUAAUCACCUGCAGUCCCAGAUACUCAGGAGGCUGAGCAGGAGAAUCACUUGAACCUGGGAGGCAGAGGUUGCAGUGAGCUGAGAUUGCUCCACUGCACUCCAACCUGACAACAGAGCUAGACUCCGUCUAAAAAAAAAAAAAAAAAAAAAGACAGAAAAAAGAAACUAGAAAUAUUUGUAUUUAAAAUUUUAAGGAAUGCUUUUCAUUUAAAGGGGACUAGGGCUUUAAUUUUUUUUUUUUUUUUUUUUUGCACAGGGUUUAUUAUUCAGAAGAUAUUAAUUAGAAACGGCGAGAAGUGCCAGAUAACCAGACUUUCACCAGUUGGAGGUGGCCUCUGUGGCAUGGAGAUUAUUGGAAUAUCCAAAUGUGUGUGAUUGUAUGAGAGCAAAUGAGAUAAUCUGGCCCUUGUCUGGAAGCCUGAGGAUAGAUUCUGAAAGUGGCUGAGGUGGGCAGAUCACCUGAGGUCAGGAGUUCAAUACCAGCCUGGUCAACAUGGUGAAAUCUUAUCUCUACUAAAAAUACAAAAAUUAGCCAGUGUGGUGUCAGACACCUGUAAUUCCCAGCUACUUAGGAGGAUGAGGCAGGAGAAUCACUUGAACCCAUGAAGGGGAGGUUGCAGUGAGCUGAUAGUGCAUGACUUCACUCCAGCCUGGGCAACAGAUUGAGACUUCAUCUCCAAGAAAAAAGGGAAGGAAGGAACGGAGGGAGGGAGGGAGGGAGGGAGGGAGGGAGGGAGGGGCCAUAUCUAGCUAGUAAAAUGGCUUUAUUGUCCUUCUGUUCCCUUCUGUCAUCAUAAAAUAUUUGGUAAAGUUCUAUGUAAUGUCAUUGCAUUAUCUGUAAAGUCUUAGGCACUUCACUUAUGUGAAGUCACAAUUUAGUUUCUACAUCAGUGUAAUGUACAGAAUUA